GCGGCCAGACUCCGGCUCUGCAGCCGGCGCUGGGGUAGGGCUGGGGAUGGCUGGAGGCGGCCUGGCUCUCGGCGUCGCCGGCCCUAACCGGACAAAGUCCUAGGGACUCAGCGCGGCCCCAGCCGGGACCUGGGACACGGGGACUACGCCCGAAUAGGGAGCCACGUCUCUUUCCAAAACGGCCACGCGAGCUCUUUGCGCUCGGCCUCGGUGACACGGCUGACGACCUGGACUGAAGAGCUGGGGGCCCCGAGGCCUGGAGCGGUUCGCUGGGAGGCCAAUUCCCUCCGGGCGCGAGGCGCCCACGAGCUCCGCCAAGGACACCGGAGUUGGAUACCCUCGCGUCUGGAGAGUGAAAAGGGGGGCCCCCAACCUUCCUUGACCCCAAUGAGCUGGUGGUGAGGACAAAACCAGAGAGGCACAGCCAGGAGGGAGAAAAUGGUCUGGUCCUCGGGUGUACUGGGGAGAACCAUCAGCUUUCUUUGCUCAGGGCUCAGCCAGGCUAAGUUACCGUAGACACCUGUCUAUCAGGCACAGCCUUCUAUUUCAAAGGACCAUAAAUUAGCACUUCAUCUCACAGUCACCAAAUUUGUGUCCUCCCUAACUAUUCGGAAAGAUUGAUGCAGAUUUCACAUCAUAAAUUCACCUUUUCCCCCCUAAGCAAAGAAUUAACCUAUUUCCUACUAUUUAAAUUACAGGAAUGAUUAGUGACUUGACCCCAACUGUUUUUAUCAAGAUGUAGUUGUAAAAGUGUAAUUUUUGAAAUAGACUUGUUACAUAAGCCCUGGUUUCUACCAGCAAACCUUUAAGCAUUUGUAGAAAAUAAAGACCAUGUAUAUUUAUUUUUUCGGAUCAGUUUUUUUUUUUUUUUUUUUUUUUUUUUUAAAUCAAGAGUUCAUUCCAUUAGUCUGUAAACUCAUGGUCAUAUUUGAGGUUUGGCUGAAGAUGUUUAAUGGGAGCAGAAUGUUUCACCCUCCACUGUUGGCACUCAGUUUGCUUUUAAGUCAUUUCCACCAGAAGUGUCCACUGAAGUCCACACAGUAACUGCCCCUGGGCAGCAACAUUUAUUCAGUUUAAAGCAGUUCAGUGUUAACCUAUUAGAGAGGCACAUACUUUUGUUCCUCUCUCCAGGGCACAUUUGCAGUCAGCCCAAGAGGAUGUGAUAUAUUGCAUUUGCAAAAGCUAAUGGGAAUGCAAAUAUUCUUGUGCAAUAUGUUGGAUUCUGUUUUUCAUCUUGCUGACUUUACAUGAGGCUGGCCUUUUGAGGUCAUCCAUUUCUUUAAGUGUGAACCCCCAGUGGGAGUUAUGGAGGACUAAGAAAUCAAAAGUUUCUUGAAAAAUCUUUUAAAAAUCCAAUUGAAGAAAAAGAUUUUACAGGCUUGACAGCCAGAAAGUGAAAUUGUAAACAACACCCUCUCCUCAUUGCCGAGUUAAAAUACAGGUUGAAAAGGAACUCUUUGUACUGGUACCAUGAAAGAUGAUUUUUAAAAAUUCGAAAAACAAAGCAGGCCAUGAAACAGAGGAGGCGUGUUUUUCUAAAUAUUCAACAUCCACCGUGCAGUGUCACUUAAGAAUUACUGUACUUAGAUGAGGCUCAGGCAAAACCUCUAUUGUGAGAGGAAGCUACUUACUGAGAACAGUGAUUUAGGCGGUCUCGCUUCUCUUCCUACCUGGAUGGGGAGCCCACCCCAGAGAGACUGUGAUAAUAUCAGGGAGGUGGGUGUCUGGAAGUGUAGCCAGCAGCUCCCAUGUUCAGGAGGUAAAGUGGUGAAAUCUACAAGGAAAUUCUGAUCCUAGGUUGGGAUACCUGGGUGGUAGAACCUGGCUUCUGGAAAAAAGAUGCUUCCCUGCCAUGGUCUCAGAGAAGCUACUGUGGCCGUCCUCCGCAGUCCUUCCAACAAUAAAUUUGAUAACUUUGUUUGAAACGUCCUUCAUUUUGUAUGAAAUGAUGCUUGGAUCUCCCGAAUUUUGAAUUCCAGGGAUAAUUAAAGCAUUACUUUAAUCUGGUGUUACGUGACCCAUUGAAAACAAAGGUUAAGAGGAAUGAAGUUUCCUUAUUUUCCAAACCAAUUCAACUAGAAGCUGAAGUCAUACUCUGUUCAGCUUGACAAACCACUGAGCGCCCCCCACAGGCAGGUGCUGGGUUAGGGCGGGACAUUGCUGGAGCUGGGUUUGUUUGACAUUUGCUCUUAAGUAGGUACAGUUACAAUAGCCAGAUUCAUUCUUAGUGGGUUUAUGAACCUGAGCCAUCAGACCAUGUAGCCUUGGGGACAUAACAUCUUUGCGAAUUCAAAGUUUCAAGAUUAUUAAGUACCAAAUAUUUUUGCAUAAUUACCCAUUACAAAUUCAGGUUUGAGAAACAAUACUUGGGUAAUCCUUUUGCUUUCUCAGCUGCUUUUGGCAGAGAAGAACGCUUGUAUAUUCACAGCGAUAUGAUGUGUGUUUCUCUAGAAAGGAAGAGCCAUAAAAUCCUUUAAAAGUUAUAAAUAGGUUCCAAGCUUGUCAUAUCCAAAUGACUACAUAUGGAUGGCCCUGAAUCCUCGAUUCCUACUCCAUGGCAAGAUCAAUAUUAUUUCAUUACUUACAGUACAUUAUUGUCCACUUUGUUGAAGAUCUUUAUCUGAUCUGAAAGGCUAAAACCAAAAUUCCAAGUUUCAUGUUCAUUUAUCUGUUUUUUUUUUUUUUUCCCCCUCUUCCUCUUAACUUAAUCAUGGAGAUCAACUCUGGGCUAAUAAAGAAUGUUGAGUAAAGAGAGUAAUAUUUCCCAAGGGAGGGAAGUACUACUCCAGGUUAAGGAGGUGCCUCCUCCAGAGAUGGUAUUGCUCUGGGCAGUUACUCUCCUCCAGGAAGGGCUGGUCUCUUAAGAUGUUGCUUGAUCUCCUGCAGGUCAAUGAUGUCUUCCACUGGGUACCACACACAUGAAUACUGAAGAAAUAUUUAUUGGAGAGACCUGCUAUUGUAAAGCAAGUAUCUUAUCUACUUGCAAGCUUGAUGAGAGAAAAUACAUUCUUAGAACUAACCAUUUGCAAAAUAUUUCAGCCAGGCACUUUUUUUUUUUUUUAAUUUGGAAAACAAAAAUGUAGCUUCCAUGACGUCUUUUGUUUUGGUUGUUUGGAGAUGUUUACCUUCUUUUGAGAGUCUGUGAGCAUUCUGAUGUAAACCCAACAGGUUUUCUGCCCUUUGCAGAAGUCCCAUGAUCAGAUGUAUUUCUGUUUUUCUGGGUGGGUUGGUAAUUUUCUCUUAGUAACAGAUAACAAAUGUGUGUAAUAGGUUAUGCUGCUAUUUUAGUGUGCAGAAGAGUUGGCAGUCAGAAACCUAGUCAGUUCAGCUCAGAUCCACCUCUGGGAGAAUUCUGUUCAUGCUGCAUUAACCCACAUCUAAGCUGGUCUAUGGCCUUGUUGUGAGAGGCAUCUUCAGAAAUUUGGAGGCUCAAAGGAAAGAAUGGAAGAGACAGCACAGUGACCAGUUAAUGGGAGUGCAGGAGUGUCAGUUAAGGCGAGCCUGAAGUCUGUCUGUAUACGCUUAUCAGGCUCUGCCAAAGAGAUAAGUGCCAAUAAAUUAACUAAGAAACAUACUGGAGAGUCAAACACAAUCCGGAGUUCUGUCAGAUUCUGGCAGUGACUCUGAGGGGAUCUUGUGCAAAUAAAAAAAAGCUUGUGUACUGUGUUUAAAUCACAUAAACAGUGAAAAUAAUGAAAUAAAAAUUAAUAUGCAUGUGGAUAUGCAUAAUUAUGGUUAAGAUAUCUAUUUCUUUCUGUUUACAAAACAAAGCAAUUCAUCUAAUUAUACCCACAAAAACACAGUGAAACAACCCAAACAUUUUAUGAAUAUAAUUUAUUUUGGCUUAUCUGUUCUGUUUCUAUUUAUAUUACACUGCAUGAAAGUACUUGGCCCCUAUUUGUAUAUGGAACAACGUCAUUUUCAACUGGCAUCGAGACUCCAUCUCAAGGGGUCAAUGAUAAGAUUAAAUCAGAGUGAAACGAGGCCAGAGAACUCAAUCUACUCUAAAAAAGGAGAGACUCCUGCAGAGCUGAUGGCAACCUGAUUUCUUGCAUCUAUUCUAACUGACCUGAGAGAAGCGUCAGUGAGCACAGGGCACCAGGCAGAGCGUCUCUGAAUCACCUAGAUGGUCUCAUCCAUCUCUGAUUUCUAAUGUUGUCCUCUAAAAACCUACAGCAGUCCUUGUGUAACCUUGACUAAUGGCAUGUAAAUAAAGAUCACCUUGAGUCUGAUGAGAUCUCAUAGAACAGAUGUGCUUCACAUGCUUCACAAUCUCUGAUGAAUCCUUAAUAAGAUUUUACAUAUAUGCAUAAAUGUAAGUCUUGUUAUCGUCUCCAGUUUACAUAGACAUAGCUUGUUGUGGCUGCAUAUGGGCACAUUCCAUAUGGAAAGCUUUUAUAGGACAUACACGCAUUUUGUCUUGCUAUGACAUCAAUUCUGCCAUAAAGCAUUUUUUUUUCCUUUUCUUGUCAGUAGGAGAAAAGGUCAGGUUUUCAAGAAGAACAGAAGAAAAUUCCACAGAGGAAAAGCUAGUUUUCCCAGCUGCGUUUUACCAAGAAGUCAUUCCCACUUCGAUCUACAAAGCUAGGACAGGUUACCUUCUCGUGGUGCUGACAACGGAAAAUAUUGGAACCGGAAAUUAAGAGGGUUUUAGGUCAGAGGCAAGGUUUGAUGGGUAAGCUUCUCAGACAGGAGGUCCGGAAGACCAGAAAGAUUUGAACCCUAAGAUCAUGGCUUAUUGAUAAGGCCCAAGAGAAAAAUGCCUUGGAGAUAGGAAAAGAGGCAGGGCCCUUCACUUCACUUAGGCUGUCCCCUGAUACAGCUGCCACACAAAGCUUU